rnacentral:rRNA from 1 species
UAACACGUAGGUAACCUGCCCAUGUGUCCGGGAUAACUGCUGGAAACGGUAGCUAAAACCGGAUAGGUAUACAGAGCGCAUGCUCAGUAUAUUAAAGCGCCCUUCAAGGCGUGAACAUGGAUGGACCUGCGGCGCAUUAGCUAGUUGGUGAGGUAACGGCCCACCAAGGCGAUGAUGUGUAGCCGGCCUGAGAGGGUAAACGGCCACAUUGGGACUGAGACACGGCCCAA